UACGUAGGGACCAAGCGUUGUUCGGAUUUACUGGGCGUAAAGGGCGCGUAGGCGGCGCGGUAAGUCACUUGUGAAAUCUCUGAGCUUAACUCAGAACGGCCAAGUGAUACUGCAGUGCUAGAGUGUGGAAGGGGCAAUCGGAAUUCUUGGUGUAGCGGUGAAAUGCGUAGAUAUCAAGAGGAACACCUGAGGUGAAGACGGGUUGCUGGGCUGACACUGACGUGGAUGCGCGAAAGCUAGGGGAGCAAACGGGAUU
rnacentral:rRNA from 1 species